CGAGAAGAAAGAGUGAAAAUCAAUUCACCUUUUUCGUACUUUUAUAACAUUAUAUACGAUUAUUGCACCGUGAAGUUUUCACCAAAAACUGUCUCAAUUAUCACUGUUUUCUCUUUAACUAAGGUAAGACAUUUUAAAGUAUAAAACCGUUUGUAAUUGGUAUGACAUCUGAAUUUGUUCUUAUCUACUCCGCAAACUCCUUAGAACGUGGUAGACUUUGAGAUAAUGCAAGGAGAACAGUAUUGCUGAGAUUCUUCUGAAUAAUUGAUGAGGCAUAACGUCUAGGAAAAUCUUUGCGUAGGUGCUUAAGAAAACAAGAGAAGUAACGUCUUGAAUCUUCCUAAAAGAAGGUAUUAUCAACAGUAAAAAAAUAAUAAUGCACGUCGAGGUACAAGUAGCUCUGAAUUUUCUCAUUUCUUUCCUUUAUAACAAAUUACCGAGAAGAAGAGUCAAUCAGUUUGGAGAAGAGAUGGAAAAGAUGGUAAAACAGAGGUUUGCUGGCCAUUGGUAUCCUGAGAGUCCAAUGAAAGGCUCGGGAUUCCGCUGUUUGAAAACCACGCCUCCACUAGAUCUAGCAUUUGGUGCUGCCGCAAUGUAUUGUGGUGUGAACUUGUCUGACAUCCAGGAGAACCUACCCAAAGAUCUCAGCAUUUGGAUAGAUCCAGGAGAGGUGUCGUACCGUCUAGGUGAGAAAGGACCCGUUAGAGUAUUGUACAAUAAAGCUAACAACUGUGGGGAAUCACAGCAUCAUAAACUGGCGCUUCCUUUUAAUCCCGAAGCUCGGUGUUUCAAACCAGUGGAUCGAGCUACCACACAACUAAACCAGAUCUCUCUUGAUGCUACUUCUUCUCCAGACAACUGUGCCUCGAUGUCUACCUUCAAGUCAAACAGUCCAGUAACCACCCUCUUCUCCCAGUCUGUAGCUCCACUUACUUUUACUACCGCUACUUUCGCACAGACAAAGUUUGGUUCUACAAAACCUAAAACUGUAGGUAAAAGAUUCCAUCGUCUUUCUCCAACAGAGCUCAAUAAUUACAUUAAACAAUGGGCAACGGCACAACAAACACACCAGAAUUCUCCUCAGCAACGAUCUUCUAUUUCUAAUCCCUCCUCUUUAAAUCUAGAAGUCACCUCUCCCAUAUUCAGUUCAGCACCUGGGCCUUCACAGAAGCUUGGUUCUUUGUCACCCAACACCGAAUUAAACGUAAUAGUGAUGACUCAACAAUCACAUUAUCCCGCAACCACAGCGCCAAUCCAAAGUCAUUUGAGCAUGUCAAGUACGCGAAAUAUGCCUACAUCAACUCUGUAUGAAAAUAUAUUUGGUGGAUUUGAAAACGACUUGGACCAGCACCCCAAACUUAACAGCAACGCUAACAUAAGUGCUUCAAUCUCGUCACUGAACAUUAAUACAACACCUAUACAUGUGGCAUCUCAACAGCUUGUGAACUUGCCAUCCCUUAACAGCCAUUUUCCACCCUUCUUCAAUAAAUCAUUCUUUGGAACUGGAAGAAAUACCGCCUCAAACCACACUUCCUUCAAUGUCCAAACGCUUAGAGAGGCAAACUCGAACAUUCGUGAUUUAAAUUCACUACCAAUGUUCAGCCCGAUUAGCGUAACGAACCCAAAUCAUUACCAACAUUUAUUAACUGCUACUUAAAGAUAUCUCUCAAUCAAUCGAUCGAACUCUGAUCGACUAGUCCCUUUGUUUAUCAGUUUAAAAAUUAAGCUUUUCUAUUUGGCCAGUCCUAUUAUUAUAGUAUAGCAUAUAUUUUAAGCAAGUUUAUGUAAGUUAAUAAGAAUUUUGUUUGCAGUUUGAAUAUGCAUCUAAGUCAUGGCCGUCUUUCAUGAUUUUUUUUUGUUAUUUUUAGUGCAAAUGAAUAUGGGUUCUAGCUGUUUUGCUUAACAGAAAACUAAAUAAUAAAAUAGCUGAUAAUUAACUACUCUCAAUUAAAGAAUGUUUUCCAAGAUGUCACCUUAGCUAACUAAAAAGUCUUCAAUUACUGAACGCUUUCCAAAAUAUCACUAAGACUAACUAAAAGAUACCUGGCAUGGUCUAGUAAUUAGGGCGCUCGACCCGCAAUAUGCAGGUCGCGGGUUCGAAUCUCGUCACCGAACAUUUUCACUCUUUCGGCCGUGGUAGUAUUCAAAUGCGAUGUUAAAUCCCAUUUUUCUUUGAUAAAGAGCAGCCCAAGACCUGUUUGUGAGUGGUGUUGACUAGUUGCCCUCUUUCUAGUCUAUCGCUUCACAAUUAGGGCAGCUAGUGCAGAUAGCCUUCAAGCAUCUUUUCGCGAAAUUCAACAAACAAACUAAAAGAUACUCAAUUACAUAACGCGUUUCCAUAUGUCACUAUAUACAACUACAGAUCGUCCAGCUAUAGAAUAUAAUUCAAAAUGUCAACAUGCAUAAUUAAGACGUUCGGUGAUGGAGUGUUCUCUAAGAUGUCACCAUGGAAAACUAAAGGAUAUCAAAGCAUAGAAUGGUUUUUCAAGAUAUCAACAGGAAUAGCUAUAUGGUGUGUAUUUCAAGAUGUAAACUUGGAUAACUAACAUACAUUAAGUUACAGAAUAUCUUCCAAACUUUCAGCAUGAAUAACAGUAAUACUUCAAUUAAGGAAAAUGUAUUACUUGCUUUCAACUCUCGAUUUUUUUUCUAAGGUGUCAGUACACAUAAGUAUAAGGCAUGUAGUUUAGAAAUGUUUUACAAGGUGUCAGUAGAGAGAAAUGUAAGACAUUCGAUCAAGAAAUAAUUUUCAAGUUGUCAGAAGAAAUAGGUAUAAGACAUUCUAUUAGGAAAGAUUUCAGAAGAGAAGAAUAAGACGUACAACCAAGAAAUGUUUCCCAAGGUGUCAGUUGAGAUAAUUAUAAAGAUAUACAAUUAAAAAAUGUUUUCUAAGAUGUCAGUUGAGAUACGUAUAAGACAUACGAUUAAAACAAAGUUUAAGGUGUCGGUAUAAAGUACACAACUGAAACAUAUUUUCUAAGGUGUCGGUAGAGAUACGUAUAAGGUAUGCAAUUGAAAAUGUUUUCUAAGAUGUCAGCAGAGAUAAGUAUAAGGUAUACAAUUGAAAAAUGUUUUCUAAAGUAGCAGUAGAAAUAAGUAUAAGGUAUACUAUUAAAAAAUUCUAAAGUAUCGGUAGAGAUAAGUAUAAUAUAUAUAUAUAUAUACAAUUGAAAAAUGUUUUCUAAGGUGUCGGUAAAGAUGAGUAUAAAGUAUACAGUUGAUAAAUGUUUUCUAAGGUGUCGGUAUAGAUAAGUAUAUAGUAUACAGUUGAAAAAUGUUUUCUAAGGUGUCGGUAUAGAUAAGUAUAAAGUAUACAGUUGAAAAAUGUUUUGUAAGGUGUCGCUAGAAAUACGUUUAAAGUAUAUAACUGAAAAAUGUUUUCUAAGGUGUCGGCAGAGAUAAGUAUAAGGUAUACUAUUACAAAAUGUUUUCUAAGGUGUCGGUAGAGAUUAGUAUCAGGCAUACAAUGAAAAAAAUGUUUUCUAAGGUGUCGGUAGAGAUACGUAUAAGACGUACAAUUAAAAAAUAUUUUCCAAAGUGUCAUCUCAACUACAAUACUUCCAAACAUGACACUGAAACAAUAUCUGGUUUAACCCUCUCACUGCCAUGAGCACAUGUACGGGAUACAAUAUGUAACCUUUUGUUUUAGCCUUAAAGUGUGAUAUUAGGUUAGGGUUCUGGAAAAAAUGUAUGUAAUAAAAUACAUCUUACAAUUGAUUUACAGAAUAUUAAUUUUGCGAGUUUUGGAAGUACAUGUACUGAUCAUUAUUUUGAUUCACAUUUCUUACAAUCUGAGAAUUAAUCAUCUGUGAAAUGUAUUAGAAAAUUAUCGGUAAAAAAUCAGCUGUGAGUAUCUAAGAAUAACCCUGACAUCCGGGGAGUUAUUUACCUAGACACGUGAUAUUGAAAAAGUUGAAAGGAAUAGGAGAUAUGUAUAUAAAAUCUUUUUUCUUUUUUUUUGAGAUUCUAUAAUUUUACGAGCAUUGUACUAAAUACAAGAAAUUGUAUACUUCACAAAUUUCUCACACAGAAACUGAAAUGUUGAAGCCAUGAAAAGUAUUUUGAAUAUAAUGGGUAAUAAAAUAUUCCAUUUAUAAUUGUGGUAGUAAUGUUCAUGUAAAACAACGUUAUUAGUAACUUAUCAAAAGUUAAAAACAUUUAAUUGGUUAAAAAAUGUAUUAUGAAAAAUAAAACACAAUAACAAUGAUAAAGCGAUCAAACCCAAAAUUUAGAUUUAUGUAUUUUCAAAUGAAUAGCAUGGUUAAUCAAGAAACGAAGGUCAAAAAUUCUUAAAAUAAUCAUUGCCAGCCUUUUUGUGCUGGAAGAAGAAAAAAGAAACAUUGAAUAUUCACGAACAUAUCUUGUUUUGCUCAUACUUGCGUUUCACUAUUUCCAUUGCUGAUUCGGGACUAAUUUACAACGUUACAAUUGUCCAGUUCUAAAAGUAUUGUGUGUAUAGUGAGUAACUAAUAUUACAUGUCAGUUGACGAAAAAGAUUAGUGUAAAAAUAUUUUCGUACGUAUCCAAGUUUAUUUAUUCCUUAAGUAGUUUAUUUUUGCUUAAUUUCCAGGUUAUGAAGCAACGUUCCAAUAUCUUGUAAAUAUUGUCUCUUUUUCAUUACUAUUUGAUAACACUUCAGUCGGUAUUUUGUAAACAAGCUUAAGUAAUAACGACCUCUGGUGUUACUGACAUAUAUUUACUAGCUUAAUAUUUAUAAUCAAAUAUUAUAAUUAUUACAUUUGGUAAACUUCCAAGUAGUGUCAAAUCCUAUGUACCUGUUCUUUGUAUAAUGAAAGUAUUUUAUAUUUUCUACUAUAAAAAUAUACAUAAUGAUAGCGACGUUUAUGGAUCUAUUGAUUACUUUUAUAUUUGUGUUCUCUGACAAAAAAUUAAGAUUAGUAUGUUGUUAUAACUAUAAUUGUAAGAUAGUGAAAAUGUAUGUUUGUUUCGAACCGUAUUGUACAAUUUAUUGUUCACAUCAAUUAAUGUCCGAUAGAUCGAACAAUAUAGUUUUGCAGAACGUUGUUCAGACUAAAACUAAAACAGCAUUACUUUUAUGAAGAACACAUCAAAAUAUUGGGUGAAAUUACUUAUUUUCUGUGUAAAAUACUCGGGAAACCCAGGUAGUAAUUAGUCAAACUAAUUGUAAUGUUGUCGGAAUUUGGCUUUAAAUUUAUGUGACUCAUGUUACAAAGGACUGUUAUUAUAAAAUCAGGGACCCACAAACAAUUUGGUGCAUAAAUACAUUAGAUGAAUAUAGCUAAAAAUCGAAUGGACCACAUCGACAAUUCUAGGGUUAAAAAUAUUCUAUUCGAAAAUUGUUUGAAAUUCUUUGCUUACUUUUAUAAUUAAUUCUCAUAAACGUGGGUUAUCUCAGUUUUCCCAUUAUGUAAUAUGAAAACGUAAAAUUAGUCUUUUGUUCAAAUCAAAACAUCAGAGCAAAUAGUGACAAAAAUAUUUCAUUGAAGCUGCCAAACUACAGGAUUUAAAUCAUUUUCUCAUAAAAGUAUGUAUUUUUUAUAUAUUUGCAUUAAAUGUAUUGUGUGCAAUGUUUUCAAAAUAUGAUGUAGCGAAGGAUGUAGAAUUAGUCAAUAUAUAAUCGUUGUGGAAUAAUACCCCAAAACCUGAAUUUUCCUUUUUCCCUUUUCGUUAUUUUCCACAUUAUUUGUGAUCUGUAUGAAUUUUUACAUCAAUAAA
rnacentral:misc_RNA from 1 species